GAACCGCGAACCGCGAACCGCGAGAUCAUGACCUGAGCCGAAGUCGGACGCUUAACCGACUGAGCCACCCAGGCGCCCCUCUCCUGGAUUCUUAUUGCACCACUUCGCUGCUCCCAAGGAGCGAAUGGACGGGGUUUGGAGGAGAUCUUUUCCAGCCUCUCUCCCUAGGUCCCCUGCGGGAGACAACCCCUUCCUUCCCUCUUACCCCUUUGGGGGCAAGUUUGCUAAACAGGAGAGUCCCAGGGACCUACGGUGGAUGGUGAAGCUGUGCGGGAGGCUCGGGGGAGCCCUUUGUCCUCGGGUGGUCGUCCCGAGGACCUGAGUAGAGCCAUGUCCUGGUUGUAGGGACCUCAGCAGAGGCUCUGAUGCCCUGGCCCUCCAGCCAGCGUGUAGGCUGUCCCAAUCCAGGGGGGCCUUGACCCUAGGAGCCCCUCCCCUUGGAGGCUCCCUUGUCCACCCUGGGCCUGCAGACCAAACAGCCCGCUGGCCUGUCUCAGCCAAAACAGGAGCUAGAGGAAGGUCAGCUUAUCAGGCCUCCCCUACUCCCUUACCCCAUGGGCCUGCCUUUCACCACAAUCAGUGUCUGGGGUGAGGGAAGGGUUGAUGGCACAAGGUGAGGCCACUCUUGGGGUCCACUCCCGCCUGAAGAGGAAUGCUUUUCAGCAGGACUCUGAGAUAGCCCGGGGCCCCACGGGCAAUAACAAAGGAGCUUGCCUGCCCGUGGCCAGUGAGGAUAGGGGUCUCUAAGUUUUCUUCUGGCCCCCAUGUCUGUACUGUCCUAAUCUUUGGGAUGGGUGGGAAGGACCUUCACCUAAGGCAGGAGGUGAUGACCUCUUGGUCUUUGCUCUCUGAAGGGGAUUAAAGUGUUCAAGGCCAGGUCAGACCAACCCUGAAGGAACAGGGUCUGGGUUUCCCUUCUCAGACUGGGGUCCCUGAGGCAGGGCUGUGCCCCCCCCCUCAGACAGGGGCUCCCUGAGACUGGGUCAACACUAACCUUCCCUCACCACUGUUACCUCUAGGUGCACCCCGCUAUCCACAUACACUGAGUGUGGCUCCCGUGAGAGUGGAGCUCCUCCGAGGACCCCAGAUGCUCAUUGCUCAGGAGCCUGGAGCUGGGCUGAGGGUAGAAAUGAGUUGGUUUCACUUUGCUGGAGAGAAGAAGUGGGAUUAAGCUGGUUGGAGCCCACUGCCUGGAGCCGAGCUCGUCCUCUGUUCGUGUGGGGACAGAGCUCCAUCCAGCUCCACAGACUCCAGAUUAUAUAGUUCCACUGGCCCACCCGGAACUUCAGAAUGUGAACUUAUUUGGAAGUAGGGUCUUUGCCGAUGUGUUUAAGUUAAGGCUCUGGAGAUGAGAUCAUCCUGGAUGUAGGGUGAGCCCCAAAUCCAACAACUAGUCAGAAGAGGAGACACGGAGGGAUGCGGGAAGACACGGGGAGAAAGCCGUGUGAAGACGGAGCCAGAAACCCGAGGGGUGCGGCCUCAAGUCAAGGAACCCCAAGGAUUGCCAGGAGCCAUCAGAAGCUGGAAGAGGCACGAUCCUCCCCUCUGGGAGCCUUUAGAGGAAGUACAGCCCUGCCAACACCUUGAUUUUCAGACACUUCGCCUCCAGAACUGGAGGGAAUAAAUUUCUGUUGUUCUAAGCCA